UCUCGGGGCGAGAUUCCUUGUUAGUGGUGUCGAUUGUAGCGGCCCAGGAAAAUCCCCAUAUUAGAUUUGUUUGUUCCUUUUUUUUUGUGUGUGCAUGAUCAUGCAUAUGUCACCUUUCAUAUUUUGCCAAAACCCAAAAAAAAAUAUUUUAAUAAACUCUAUCUUACUUAUUCUUGUAUGGUUUUAUAAAAACCCCUCUGAAAACUCUUUUCUUAUUUACCAAAAACCUAAAACUAAUUAAAAGUAUUUGUAAUAUUUUGGCAAACUAAUUGAAAUAUGGUUUAUAAAUGUUUUUUUUUACAACUGCCGUUUCUUUUUGUUCUCUCUUCCUCUCUAUUCUUUUCUCUUCUUUCUUUGUUUUCCUGUAUCCGCUGAUGAGCAAAUUCAGAGGAGUACGUUCAUUUCCUUAGCCUUAUUUUGAUCUGCCUUCUUUUCCUGGCCCAACAACAUCACCACGUGAGAUGUUGUUUUCUUCCUCCUUCUCACGAAGAGAGCGUGAGUUCUCUGGUUCAUGUCAGCUGCGUGCUUGCCGUGCCGCACCUGCUCUCCCUUCUCCUUUUAAUCCCCUUCCUUGAGCCAGAGAAACCCUAGCCUCUCUGUUCCCUCGCGCCGCCACUGCUUCCCACUCUGUUCUUCCCCUUUCCCCGAAGCAGAGAAGAAGAGACAGAAAAUUCAGUUAAAAGUUCAGAGAAAACCACCGUGAUCUUCCGCCAGACUCGACGUCGUCCUGCCGCUCCGGCCAUCCCCGGCGCCGCUGACCCCUCCUCAGAUUCCUGGUGAUCUCCUCUUCCUCUUAGACAACUCCUUCCCUAUCUCCCUAUAAAUCUCCCUGCCGACGAUGACCGUCGUUUUUCUACUUAAUUAGGACCUCGUCGCCGGCGUCCAUCUGGUGGUGCUCUGCCUCCGCCGCCGCCUCUGUUCCCUCUGUUCGGUUCGCUGCAGUCAGGCGCUUCUCCUGCGCCAAGUCCCUCGUCCUGCGUCUCGUCGUCCCGAUGUUUUCUUGCUCGACCGCGACGGCCUCCGCCCUUCACUGAAGCUCAUCAUCCUCUGCAUCUGUGAGAUCCAUCAGCACGCCCUUGGUCUGCAUCAAAAACAACGUGCACCUGCAUUCAUCAACAUCCAAGCAGAAGUACACUCGGUUCGUUCCUUUGCCUGCUGAAACUGAAUAUGAGCAUUUGCUUCUUCCCGGAUAGGAUCGCGAAGUGGUGCGAUGAGAUACGAC